rnacentral:rRNA from 1 species
GGAUCCGAUCAUACCAGCAGUAAAGCACCGGAUCCCAUCAGAACUCCGAAGUUAAGCGUGCUUGGGCGAGAGUAGUACUAGGAUGGGUGACCUCCUGGGAAGUCCUCGUGUUGCAUUCC